CCUCAACCAAGUCUAUCAGAUGUCUCUGCUCUGUACCCAAGAGAAUAAGACAAAUGCCUUGUGUCUUCAUGUUCACGCUGCUGGAAAUAUUUGGGACUAUUUCUCUCAAUCAGUGGGGAUAUGUGUGCCUGAGUGCAGACUCUUCACCUUCCAGCACAGACCCUUUGGCCUCCUGAUACAGACUCACAUGGGGCACCACCACAUGGAGCUCCAGGCCUUCGAGUUGAUCCUUCAGAUCCCCAGUGCAAAGACCUUUUCCACUCUUCUACACCAGACUCUGUGGGUGGCCAUGGGAUCGAACUCAGGUCCUUGAGCUUGUGCAGCAGGCGAUGAAACCACUGAGCUAAAUCCCCAGCCCCUGAUAACACCUUUCAUUAAGAAUGGAAAGGUAAGCAUUACAAUUUGUGUUACAUGCAGCCCAGGAAAGAUAACAAAUAAAAGGCUUCGAAGCACUCAGUAACAUGAAGUCUAUGCUGAUAGGACAAACGAGGAGAAAAAAAAUAAAAG